AGUUUGUCUGGAGAAAAUCUGGAGAGAUGGCAAGGUUAUUGAAAGUCCAAAUUUGCGGAUGUUGGCAACUGAGCUGGUUACCAGCGUACGGAGUCUACACACAGAAAUAAUUACUAUAUUAAAGGAUGAGUCUUUAGCUUUGAACCAGACUGUAAUAGAGAGUCUAAGGGAGGCCGUAACCCAAUUAGAUGGUACAUUGAAACAUGCACAUGAGAAAGAUCACUUGAUGCACUUUUGUUCUGAAGAGGAGG